rnacentral:misc_RNA from 1 species
AUCAUCAUCGUCAUCAUCAUCAUUAUCACAAUAAUAAUAAAACGAAGCAGCAUAAAUGCAGUUUCAGCCAUUGGCUAAUAAUUGGCUAAUACUCAACUCAAUUAAGUCUUAAUCUCAAUCUAGUAUUCUAGCUGGGGUUGCUCUAAGGAUCCACCGUCUAAAGUCUUAGAUAAUAAGAAAAUACAUUUAAAAAUAGGUGCUAUUGGUUAUUUAUAUGCACCGGUUAGUGCUAGUUGACCUCAG